AGUGAACGCUGGCGGUAGGCCUAACACAUGCCAGUCGAACGGCAGCACAGUAAGAGCUUGCUCUUACGGGUGGCGAGUGGCGGACGGUUGAGGAAUACAUCGGAAUCUACUUUUUCGUGGGGGAUAACGUAGGGAAACUUACGCUAAUACCGCAUACGACCUACUGGUGAAAGCAGGGGAUCUUCGGACCUUGCGCGAUUGAAUGAGCCGAUGUCGGAUUAGCUAGUUGGCGGGGUAAAGGCCCACCAAGGCGACGAUCCGUAGCUGGUCUGAGAGGAUGAUCAGCCACACUGGAACUGAGACACGGUCCAGACUCCUACGGGGGGCAGCAGUGCGGAAUAUUGGACGAUGGGCGCAAGCCUGAUCCAGCCAUACCGCGUGGGUGAAGAAGGCCUUCGGGUUGUAAAGCCCCUUUGUUGGGAAAGAAAAGCAGCAGGUUAAUACCCCGCUGUUCUGACGGUACCCAAAGAAUAAGCACCGGCUAACUUCGUG
rnacentral:rRNA from 1 species